UAAUACGUAGGUGGCGAGCGUUAUCCGGAUUUACUGGGUGUAAAGGGCGUGUAGGCGGUUUUGUAAGUCGGAUGUGAAAUUCCCAGGCUUAACUUGGGAGCUGCAUCCGAAACUACAGAACUUGAGUACUGGAGAGGAUAGUGGAAUUCCUAGUGUAGCGGUAAAAUGCGUAGAUAUUAGGAGGAACAUCAGUGGCGAAGGCGACUAUCUGGACAGUAACUGACGCUGAGGCGCGAAAGCGUGGGGAGCAAACAGG
rnacentral:rRNA from 1 species